CCGGGCCGUCGCCGGAGAACGGCUGGCCAGCGUCGUGGGGCGCGCUCCUCGGGUGAGAGCAUGGAAGAGCGUCUUUGCCCCUCACUCCUCGGUUUCUCCUCCCUGGAAUGUCGCGGCCCCCCACCCCUCUCUGGGAGAGACGGCAGACAACAAAGGGGCCCGGGGUGGCGGCCGGAGGGACGAUGUGAGGGACGCCGCCGAGCCAGCGCCAGGGGAAGUUGGGGACGAAGGUGGGGGCUGGGAGGACGACAAACCAAAACAGCGACCUGGCUGAGAAGCCCCUUUGUCUGGGAGAGUGCCGGGUGAAAGCCCAAAGCUGAGAGCAGCCCCGGGGUCUGACGCUUUCGUCACCCUGCAGCCGCACCCGGGCCUUUGGGUGGUGAGAGCUGGGCCUGGGUUCGACGCCCGCGGGCGCAGGGAGACCGGCUCCCCUUUGCUGUGUGAAAGUUUAGUUCUUUGUAGCCAGCCGCCCUCGUUGAAGGCCCCACCUUCUUCCUGAGAAAGUUUCUAAGCAUCCCUUCACCCCUUGAGCGCAGGCACCCCCAGACUGUUGAAGUCCGCCAGGUUUACAUACCCUGGCGGGUCACGUGUAUAUAUAAUCCCCCCAACUUCGUAAAAGUAAGCCAUUUGAGUUCCUUUAAAAUGCAAACGUCAACUUCUGUUCAGAAGACUUUAAAAGAGGAGAAAUGCCACAGCAGUUAUGAGGACAAAUCAAGACUCAAGGAUUUGGCAGUUUAACUUUGGUAGAAAUAACUAAUGUUUACUGAGAGUUUAACCACAGCUUUAAUACUUUUGGUAUUUAAUCCUCACAAUAACCGUGUGAAAUAGACACUUUUACACACCCUCCUUCAAGGAAGUUGAGUCACAGAAGAGGUAACUUGCCCAGGGGCACACAGCUGGUAAGUAGAUUGGAAUCCAAGUAAAUCUACAUUUAGAGCCGACCUUAUCACUAGGCCUUCAUCUCUCUCACACUUAACACCCAUUCCAGAAACUCCCGUCAGCUAUCAGUUAUACCAUUGGGUUGAUGACUAGCUUAGAGUCUUGAAUAAGAAGGCAGCACAGAUAAAAAUACACCUGCCUUAGUAAUCAGUCUGUGGGCUUACGUUUGUCUCUCUGAAAAGGAGGCAGUGGAACUCAUCAGUGCAAUCCCGUCUUGCCUAGAAUCCUUUCACUGGUCGACUCAAUCCUAGUUUGGUGGAUUCUCAGCUGAAAUGGAAUAGAGGAUAAAAGGAAGAGUAAAAAGAACAGGACCUUCAUUCCCCCAGGGGAGUGUUCCAGUGGGAUUUGUAAUCAAUUAGAGAGCUGCUUAUUACAGUAUAUUAAUCCAAAAACCCAGACCUAUUAAUAUUAUAUUAGAAAGAAACCAUUUUUUUUUCCUUUUCUUCACUUUAGAAAAGUAGAGGAAGCGCACAGGUGGCUGAGCAUACAAACUGAAGAAAAAAUUGAAAUGCCAUUUUAAAAACUUGAAAGGUGGGUGUUGGGAACAUAUUGCAACCUAAAGUAAGCAGCAUGGAGAUACAAUCUCAGAGCUAGAACAAAUAAUGUCUGCAGAAAGGAGUUUCCUUAAGCUAAAUUUUUAUUUUAGUCAGACAUGACAGAACAUAAUCUGUAUUUGGGGUAACUACAUGAAAUUAUUUAAUAUCUAGAAUGGUUGAGCGCUGUGGCUCAUGCCUGUAAUCCCAGCAGUGAGCUGUGAUCGCACCACUGCACCCCAGCCUGGAUGACAGAGUGAGACCCUGUCUCAAAAAAAUAAAUAGGCCAGGCAUGGUGGCUCACGCCUGUAAUCCCAGCACUUCUGGGAGGCCAAGUUUGGUGGAUCAUUUGAGAUCAGGAGUUCCAGACCAGCCAACAUGGUGAAACCCCGUCUCUACUAAAAAUACAAAAAAAAUUAGCCGGGC
rnacentral:lncRNA from 10 species